ensembl:lncRNA
CACCGUAAGGUCAUAUUUCACUAAUGAAUCAAAGAAAAAAUGAGUUUGCAUGAAGAAAAUUCUUCUUUUUUAACGUUGUUUACAAUUACAUACAUUGUUUGUUUGUUGUGAUAUUAAUUUCAUGAGACUUCAACACUUGCAUUAAUGGUACAGAUGUAUAACCCCCCACAUACACACACACACAUGUGCGCUUGUUUUGUGCUAUUCACCCGUACGUUCAUUCUUGACUGUUUUAAAGUGUUUUAAAGUGAAGCCCGGUCGCUGUCUGCGGAGUUGUGCUUCACUUGAGCUGUAAAUUAGCUAAUUAGCUGCAUAAUUGGCCGAAUUAAAGCUCCAAUCAGUGAAGCUUUUGCUGUCAGAGGUCCUCCAGGUAACUUAAAUCAGCUGUCGCUCGAGACUCUGAAAGGAAGACAAAUUUGCCCAGCCGAGCGAGUAAUGACCCGAGCCUCGAGUAAGGAGGUCUGAGGAAAGCAAACAAAAGAGCUUUGAUUAGCGCAAAGGCCUCUUCAUACUCUGCAGAAGAGCAGCUUCGUUACUGUGUGUUUUCCUCUCAGAUGCAUCCGUCUGCUGCCUGCUGUGAGCUGGACGAGAUGCAUCAGGUCACCUGUGCUUCAGAUCACUCUUCAGACGGGAUGUCACGCUACCGUUUGUCGCUGGCCAGCCAGACCCCUGAAACAAUGGCGGUGCUGCUCUUCAGGGGCCCAGCGACAUCUUGAGCAUGGCCCGCGGCGGCUUCAGCUGGCAUCCAGACGGAGGGGACCGGAGCCUAUCGGCGGGGACAGAUGUGUGGACAUUUCCUACAGUCCCGAAAAAACCCUUCAAGAUGAAGAUAGACUGAAGACUGAACAGGUUGACUAGCGGAGUCUUAAAAUGUUAGAAAUCGAUAGUUCAUGUGUGUUUUUUUUUUUUUUUUUACUUAUAUUCAUUUCUAAACAAUGUGUUCUUCAAUACUGGGUCUACAGAUAAUUGGCAUCAUUUGGUAACAUAAUUUUUUGUUUGAAUAAAUAAUUAUACAAUCUGUAUUUUUAAAAAUUG